ACGUGGGUAAGCUGGCUGUAGGACUGGGAUAACUCCGGGAAACCGGGGCUAAUACCGGAUGCUUGAUUGAACCGCAUGGUUCAAUUAUAAAAGGUGGCUUUUAGCUACCACUUACAGAUGGACCCGCGGCGCAUUAGCUAGUUGGUGAGGUAACGGCUCACCAAGGCGACGAUGCGUAGCCGACCUGAGAGGGUGAUCGGCCACACUGGGACUGAAACACGGCCCAGACUCCUACGGGAGGCAGCAGUAGGGAAUCUUCCGCAAUGGACGAAAGUCUGACGGAGCAACGCCGCGUGAGUGAUGAAGGUUUUCGGAUCGUAAAACUCUGUUGUUAGG
rnacentral:rRNA from 2 species